rnacentral:rRNA from 1 species
ACGUAGGUGGCAAGCGUUGUCCGGAUUUAUUUGGCGUAAAGCUAACGCAGGCGGGAGAAUAAGUCAGCUGUGAAAGCCCCCAGCUUAACUGGGGAAGUGCAACUGAAACUAUUUUUCUUGAGUGCAGAAGAGGAUAGUGGAACUCCAUGUGUAGCGGUGGAAUGCGUAGAUAUAUGGAAGAACACCAGUGGCGAAGGCGGCUCUCUGGUCUGUAACUGACGCUGAGGUUCGAAAGCAUGGGUAGCGAACAGG